GCCAUUUGAAUCAAAGCACUAUCUAAUAUCUACCAUAUGCACUCAAUCAUCAACAAAAUGCCAAACAUAAAUAUACAUUGAUUCAUUAUUCUAACUCAAGAGUGGUAAACAUGUUAGAAGGCUAAUACCUAAUUCAACACUUCCAUGUCAACCAAAUUAAAUCACCAAUUUCAAUAGGACAUCUAGCUUAUUUAAAGAAAACACCAUUUCCAAACAUUUACAAAUAUAAAUAUAAUUAUAUCAAAAUAUCUAUAUCAUUUACCAAGAUUAUAAGUUAUAUAUCAUACACGUAACAUUCAUCCAAAUUAUCUAUAGACGAAAUAUUUUAAUCAACUAAUAUGCCUAAGUACAUGCCAAAAACACAAAAGAGGACAUCACCGAUGUUGAGUACAGGAUUCUUGUAGGAUGUUGAGUUAAAGUCUACUAUUUAUCUAACCUGUAAACAUGGAAACCAAUCCACAUUAAGUAGAUUUCACUUAUUUGAAUAACCACAAGUAUAUCUAAAGCAUUUGAAUUUAUUUCACAACUUUAAUCAUCUAAUUCAAGAAAUAUAUCAUAUCUUCCAAUGAAUAAAUAUAUAUACAUAAGUAAAUAUAAUACUUCCUUAAUAAUACCUAUAACCAACUGUCUUCAAUGGUUCAUAUAACCUUAAUGUAUAGUCCAAUCGAUACAUGGUGGAUAAACUAUAGAAGAGUUUGCGCCUAAUGUUUGUCGGAUAAACCGACAAAUGUGUUCCUAGCACUAGUUAGAUAAACUGACGGAAGUUGCACCUAACGCUAGCCAGAUAAACCGAAAAAUAUAUACCUAGCACUAGUCAGAUAAACCGGCAAAUGUGUGCCCAACACUAGUUAGAUAAAUUGACAGAAGUUGUGCCCAAAACUAGUUGGAUAAAUCGACGAAUAAAUAUUGAGCCCAGCUCUAGUUUGACAUACCAACGAUAUUUGCACCCAGUGCUAGUCGGAUAAACCGACGAAUAAAUACUUAUUUAUUUUCACAAUUUCCUCAUUCAUUAAUUAACAUCACCAUUCAAAUAUGAACAUAAUAUUGUAUAUCAAGUAUUUAAAUAACAUCUAAUUAUUAAUUAAAUAAAUUAUUAAUAAAAAGGUUAAGUUCGAGACUACGAACUUACCAAAAUACAAUAGGUGCUACGAAUCAAAGACGUCUACUCAGUGAUCUUUUCCUUCCCACGGUUGAUACCCGAUCUAUUCUUCUCUUUAUCAAAUUAACAAAUUAAUUCCAUUACUUAAUUUGAAUAUCAUACUUGUUUUCAAUUAAGUUAAUUAACCUUAGAUCAUAGUUAUACUUUUACCCUCAACAAUUGAAAUUUACUCAACUUAAUCAUUAACAUCAAAAUUAGCUUAAUUGCCAUCUUCAUCUAAUUUCCAUAACUAACCACAUAUACAAAUAAUUUAUUAACAAUCCCUAAAUUCUUGAAUUUUAUAACUUAACGCCAUGCUAGUUUAAUUUAUAGCAUUUAACUCCUUGAAAGCUAAUACUAAUAAAACUCAUAAUACAAAAUAUUUUACUUGCUCACUUAACUUAGUAAUUCAACUCAAAUUUCCAGCACAAAGAACAAUUCACCAAAACAGUCCCUAGACUUCACCAAAAUUAACAAUUUAACCCCUAAUUCUAUCAAAACAACUUCAAACAUUAGAGUUUUUCAACAAUGGCAGCUUCCACAAAGGUCAUAAUUUCUCAAAAUUUCCACAUAGGUAAUCUACUAUAUGAUUUUAAGGUUCCAAAAAUAUAAAGUUUAAUUAAAAAUAAUCAAAUCAUACCAAUAAAGUUGAGCUUCAAAAAUGAAACUUAAAAGCCGAAUGGUGCUAACCUUUUUCUUCUCCAAAUCGGCAUGCAAAAGAGAUGAAGCUUUAAUUUUGUUUCUCUUUCCUUUUUCUUUCCCCAAUACUCUAUUUGUUUCUUUUAUUUUAUUCAUAUUUUCAUUUCAUUUUUAUUAUAACUUAACAUAAUUACUUAUUUAAGCAUUAUCAUACAAUUAACUUAUAUCCAUUAACCAAAACUCAUCAAAUUAAAGGACUAUUUGUUUAAAUAGUCCCUUAUUCUAAUCCCACUUUGAAAUUUAAUACUAAUUACUAAUUUAUCACCCACUCAUUUUAAUUUAAUAAUUCAACCCCCAAGAAUAUUUAUACUCAAACUUUUGACCCUUUAAAUAAAUUUCACAUCUUUGCAUUCAAUAUAUAUAUACCAUUAAAUCCUUAAUCCAAAACCUCCAAAUUUUAGUUUUCCCCAAUCAAUUCCCAUCAAACCAAUGUAUAUUAUUUUACAGCAUUCCCUUAAUCACUAUAAAUCACGAUUUAAAUCAUGUUAUUUUGAAUUUACAACAUUUUAAGUCCCUAGAAAUUAAUAUCAACAAAAAUCACCACUCAAUUUGACCAAAUUAGCCCAUAAGGCUUAUAAUUUACUCAUCACCUCAAAGACAUUUAACAUUCUUAAAAAAACAGUACCUACACUCUUCAUGAUUUAUCAAAUCAGUCCCUACUUAAGAUUGGUCUAGCUUCAACAAUUUUAAAAGUGUAAAAUUUGUUAAAGUGGUAGCUCAAACACGUACAUAUAUAUAAAUAUAAUUUCAUAAUCACUCACAAAUUUAACAUCCAACAAAAUAACACCGAACAUUUAAAAUUUUCAUCAAUUUCAUGUAAAAAUAACCAAAAUUCACUAACCAAAUUAAACAUGCAACAAGAGCUCUUGGCCGUGCAACUUCUCCCUUCUUUCCUUUUUGUUUCGGGAAAAAGAAAAUUAAAGAAAAUUUUUGCUUGGCUUUCCCCUCCCCACUAACCAUUAUCUCCCAUCUAUUAUUAAUAUAUAUAUAUAUAUAUAUAUAUAUAUCCUUUUAUAACAAAUUUUAACUUAAUUAUCAUACUAACUUAACACAUGUGAUACUUUUAAUAUUUACUAAAACCGUCCACCAUCACACACUUAUAUAAAUAACGGCUUAUUUAUUUAAUAAGUCCCUUAAUAUAGAUUCAUCUUAUAAUUUAGUAUUAAUUCUUACAUUUAUGACUUAUUUAAUUUAGCCCCUUUACUUUAAUUUAACACUCUUUCGUCAAAAUUACAUAACCAAAAAUUUAAUUCACUUCUAAUAUAACUCUGUAAACAUUUAAUAAAAAUAUUUACGAGCCCGAUUUAGGGGAACGAGGUCCUAACACCUUAAUUUCCAAAGCAUCAACUUUAGAAUCGAUACACUUGUACCUUGUCUAACUUUCUAAUAAUUAAAAUUAUUAGAUCAACAUCAAUAUAAUACUGUUAUACCUUCAUAAUUAUGAAUAAAUAAUAUUCACUAAUUCUAUCUUCGGAAAACAACAUUCUGAAGCCACCGUUUUUUACUUCAAUGACUUUUGGGUCAUUACACCUAAAGUUGAUUUGUAAUUACUAACUCAAUUCAAAUGCAAUAGCAUCCUAACAACCAUCAUGCAAUGAAACCAUUAAUCCCAAAUCUUCGUAACUCAUCAAACUCAAUUCAAAUGCAGUAGCAUCCUAAAUACCAUCACUAUCAUUAAUCCCAAAUCUUCAUAAUUCAGUUCAAAUGCAAUAGCAUCUUAAGAACCAUCAUGCAAUGAACUAUUUCCACUUUUCUUUUAACCCCACAAAAAUGCAUAAAUAUGAACCAAUGAAAAAGUGAACACAACAACAACAUCAACCUUUCAUCUUUAAGAGAAAAAAUAAUUAUCAAAAACACCUUACAUGAAAAGGAAAAAAAUCCAAAAAUCAACAGCUUAUAGCACUUAAAAGAGAAAAUCAAAAACCUGUUUCAUUUGAGGAAAAUCUUGAUCCCAAAAUAGGCAAAUAAACUCGUGAUUCGACAUACUAAUUUGCAUAAGAAAAAAAAAACAAUCAUCAGUUUUAAGGUUACCUAUGUUGCACAAGCUUCUUUGAAAAUUACUUGCUUUCGGUUCAAGAAAUCUGAAUCAGUACUGAGAGAUUGAUUAGCAAUUCUAUGAUCUGGUGUUCUUCAAUUGAGUCUGGAUUUUUUCCUUGCUGAAGAUUUUGCCCUUAAUUAAGAAAUUUUUAUGAUCUCGAUUCCUAUGAGAAAAAGAUUGAAGAAGUUGGUGAGGAGCAAUGGUGUUUUAGGGCUUUGGAAAAUGGAGAAGGGAAUGAGGGCAAAAAUGAAAAAAUAAUAAUCUUUUAGCAUUCCUACGUGUUUUGAAUGGGCAAUUUCGAGGUUGGGGCAAAGAAUGUUAUUCAGUAUCUAUUCAAUGAUUAGUGAGAAUAGAAAACUAAACAUCAAC
rnacentral:lncRNA from 1 species